UCGCUGAUAAAUAGCAUUAAGUACAAACCAAAAUAUCAAGUAGUCGGUUAAUAACAUUUCAAUUAAAAACAAUAAAAUAAAUAAAGUGCAGGCAUUUGUCUUUAAGGUGGACAAUGUGUAUUCACAGAACUUAAGCGAAGAAAGACAAAAUAUAAUAAUAUAAAGGAUAUAAUAAUAUAAAGGACACGAAGAUCAUUGGCAUCAACGGAGAAUUACAGUGAUGAUGAAAAUGUAGCUAUUUGACCAAUGACGACUAUAUGCCGAUAUUGCAUGCGUUGAAGUUCAAAAAAGAAAGAUUUUGUAUCACCAAUCGAAAUCUUACAUAAAACGAAGCCAUCUGGUGGCGAAACGAAGUUCGCCGGGUUCCUAGUAUUAUAUAUGUAUAUAAAGGUCAUCAACCUUCGUGUAGUAGUACAAUUAACGAAAAUUACAUUAGACAACAAAGAUGAUUGAAAUAUAAUUUGCGAAUUCGUUGUUGCAAUUAUCGAACCAGA